CAGCUUCUUGUGUACAUCCUUACGUUUUCUACAUAAAGCCUUUGCUUCACGAGGGAAACAGGGAGCAGUUUAUUAAUUUUUGUCCCCAUCCGUGAAAUUAUUUUAACUUGAAUAUAAUCCCACAUCGACCUUAUCAUGCCAUAAUUAAGAAGAUCAAGUCAAACUUUCUUUCUUUGUUUCUGGUGGUUGCGAUUUUCCGUUCACAAGGUCGUGCAGGAAGAAGUUUAUCUACGAAAAAUAUCCACCAGGCAUGUCUAUGUCUUUGUCAUUUGUUCUGUACAUUUUUUCGUGUGGUUUGUUGCUGGCUCUGCCACUUGCAUGGACAUUUUUGUUUGUUCCUUAUGGCCUGUCUUUGUUUGUUUUUGGUCCUCACAAUCCCAUUUACAAGGUUGUGCAGGAAGCAGUUUAGACAAGGUCUUGAAAAACGACAUUGUGUUACAUUGUUGUUCCAUUUUUUUGCUGCAUUAUGGCACGUUCUCCAGACAAGAUAAUGAACAUCGACGGCUCAAAAGAAACUCUUAAACUUGCUGUGAGGAUCAGUGAUCUAUGGUUUGUUGGGAUGCCUGACAAAUCUGAGCAAGCUAAGAUGGUUUUUGUCGACUCUGAUGUAUGCUUCAAUUUUGUGUUUUUACUAGGUUUAUUACUUAUUGUUCAGCCCAUUGUGUUGUAACCUUAACGGUCUCUAGGGUGAUGAGAUCCAUGUUAUUUAUAAACAAGACCAGCUGAAGUCUUGGAAGAUGGACUUGAAGGAAAAUUGUACUUAUGUCAUGCACAAUUUUAAUGUGCUCAAAAACAACGGUCAGUAGAGAGUUUGUGAUCACCAAUUUAAAUUGGUGUUUACUGGAGUUAUUGUUGUAAGGCAGUCUAUUCUAGACGACCUCCCUUUUAGAAAAUACAGGUUUGCUGGAUUUGCCAAUGUUGUGGCUGGGCAGUCUGAACCUGGCCUAUUGGUUGACAUUAUCAGUGUCAUGGACGAGGUUGUCUUUCACCAUGUUUCAGGGGUUGUCUUUAAACUAAAGGACUUAGCCAACAAUUGCUAUCUUGCACUUUGUGGGACGAUUAUUGCUUGCAGUUUUUAAAGUUCUUAGAUGAUCAUGAAGGUCAUGGCCCGAUUACAGUUCUAUUGACCCAUGGUAGAAUAAAGGAUGCUCAGGGAUCUUAUCCGCCAUCAGUCAGCAAUUCUUUCAAGGCUUCGAAGUUAAUUAUUAACCAAUUGGUGAUGGAGAUUCAAGAAUUCAAUGAACGGCGUGCAAAGUUGGGCAUUGAGGCCCGGUCAGUUUUUAAAUCCCAUGGUCAAGGCAGUUCACAACUUUCAGGUUCUACACAAUUAUCAUCAAAGGAAUCAUUCUUUGGAAAGACUGAGGCAAAGACUAUUGCUGAGAUUAACACCAUCUCUGAACUUGCAUUCAAUGGCAUAAAAAAAUUGAUGCAGAGAUGGCGCCCUUCACAUGUGCAUGUGGCAAAUACAAUCAGGAAGUUAUGCUUAAGUCAUUGUGAUCUUUUAAAAUCCUAUGUAUCCUUCAUAUAUUCAUAUUUUUUUAUACUGUUGCUAUAUAUGGUACCAGGUAUAGGCUUGAGGUGAUGAUCAACCACAAAGAUGAAAGCACAAAAUUCCUGCUUUGGGACCGUGAAUGCACUGAAUUGAUUGGUCAAUCAGCUGAUGCAGUUGAUAGGCAUAAAAUUGCAGAUGGUGAUGUUGAUUUGAAUACUUCACCCCAAGCACUUGAUAAGCUACUGGGUUAUGUGCUUGCUUUUAAGAUAAAGGUCUAACCCAAGUUCAGGAAUUCUGCCGUUUUGAAGUGUUCAACUGACUCAAGCUUAAUUGAUGUUGUGAUGGCCAUGUUACCUGAUGCUGAGGUUGUGUAGCCAUCAAUGUAUGUCUCAUUCAGACAUCUUCAAAAAUCAAUGUCCCAGCCUUUGGUUCCAAUGAUCAUACCCAACAUGAAUCUAUGAGUUUUAAUCAUGGCCCUCAUGCAAUCCACGUCUGUGACAGCAGACCAUGAUCCACUACUUGGGCUCUGGUUGAGCCUGGCAAGUGCACCGGAUCGCGCAAGUAGUAUAAAACGGUAAGAACCGAGUAUCGAACUCUCAGGGAACUUGUGUUACUUGG